rnacentral:tRNA from 1 species
GGACAGGUGUCCGAGUGGCUGAAGGAGCCGGUCUCGAAAACCGGUGUGCCGGUAACGGUACCGAGGGUUCGAAUCCCUCCCUGUCCG